rnacentral:lncRNA from 1 species
CAGUGGCUUGCUCCUUCUCUCUGAUCUCUCAGCAUUUCUCUCUAUAUCUGACUCCAGGUUUUUAAUUACUUAGACCAAUUAAGAAGAUGCAGAGAUGGAAGAUGAAAUAUAGGAAUCCCAGUUAAAUAUCAAGUAAAUAUCAGUCUUGGCCACUUUCAACUUGACGUCUUCUUGAACCAGGGCCUGCUGCUUGAAUGUAGAAUGAAUAUCAGCAGUUCUUUCUAGCUUCAAAAUACAGUGUGUACACGCAGAUAUUUGUAAAUGUAGUAUUUAUUCUCAAUCUGUGUUUGUCCCUGGGGAGAUCUAUGAAGGCCUUGAAAGACUUGAUAAUCGUAACCCGAGACAAAGCCAAGAAGGAGCCUCGUGACUAAAAGAAGCUGCAGAGGUGCUUGGUCAGCAAAGAUCUCAAUGCAGAGGGAGUGAAAACUCCAGAACCUGCAGUCUGUGUGAGAGGGUGCACUUCAAGACCCAGCACUGCUGGAGGGAGAGAGAG